GACGAACGCUGGCGGCGUGCUUAAAACAUGCAAGUCGAACGGAAAGGCCCUGCUUUUGUGGGGUGCUCGAGUGGCGAACGGGUGAGUAACACGUGAGUAACCUGCCCUUGACUUUGGGAUAACUUUAGGAAACUGGGGCUAAUACCGGAUAGGAGCUCCUGCUGCAUGGUGGGGGGUGGAAAGUUUCGGCGGGUGGGGAUGGACUCGCGGCUUAUCAGCUUGUUGGUGGGGUAGUGGCUUACCAAGGCUUUGACGGGUAGCCGGCCUGAGAGGGUGACCGGCCACAUUGGGACUGAGAUACGGCCCAGACUCCUACGGGAGGCAGCAGUGGGGAAUAUUGCACAAUGGGCGGAAGCCUGAUGCAGCAACGCCGCGUGCGGGAUGACGGCCUUCGGGUUGUAAACCGCUUUCGCCUGUGACGAAGCGUGAGUGACGGUAAUGGGUAAAGAAGCACCGGCUAACUACGUG
rnacentral:rRNA from 1 species